rnacentral:tRNA from 1 species
GUGGUGGCUCAGUGGUAGAGCACUUGCUUAGCAUGUGUGAGGCACUGGGUUCAAUCCUCAGCACCACA